UUAAGCGACUAAGCGUACACGGUGGAUGCCCUGGCAGUCAGAGGCGAUGAAGGACGUGCUAAUCUGCGAUAAGCGUCGGUAAGGUGAUAUGAACCGUUAUAACCGGCGAUUUCCGAAUGGGGAAACCCAGUGUGUUUCGACACACUAUCAUUAACUGAAUCCAUAGGUUAAUGAGGCGAACCGGGGGAACUGAAACAUCUAAGUACCCCGAGGAAAAGAAAUCAACCGAGAUUCCCCCAGUAGCGGCGAGCGAACGGGGAGCAGCCCAGAGCCUGAAUCAGUGUGUGUGUUAGUGGAAGCGUCUGGAAAGGCGCGCGAUACAGGGUGACAGCCCCGUACACAAAAAUGCACAUGCUGUGAGCUCGAUGAGUAGGGCGGGACACGUGGUAUCCUGUCUGAAUAUGGGGGGACCAUCCUCCAAGGCUAAAUACUCCUGACUGACCGAUAGUGAACCAGUACCGUGAGGGAAAGGCGAAAAGAACCCCGGCGAGGGGAGUGAAAAAGAACCUGAAACCGUGUACGUACAAGCAGUGGGAGCACGCUUAGGCGUGUGACUGCGUACCUUUUGUAUAAUGGGUCAGCGACUUAUAUUCUGUAGCAAGGUUAACCGAAUAGGGGAGCCGAAGGGAAACCGAGUCUUAACUGGGCGUUAAGUUGCAGGGUAUAGACCCGAAACCCGGUGAUCUAGCCAUGGGCAGGUUGAAGGUUGGGUAACACUAACUGGAGGACCGAACCGACUAAUGUUGAAAAAUUAGCGGAUGACUUGUGGCUGGGGGUGAAAGGCCAAUCAAACCGGGAGAUAGCUGGUUCUCCCCGAAAGCUAUUUAGGUAGCGCCUCGUGAAUUCAUCUCCGGGGGUAGAGCACUGUUUCGGCAAGGGGGUCAUCCCGACUUACCAACCCGAUGCAAACUGCGAAUACCGGAGAAUGUUAUCACGGGAGACACACGGCGGGUGCUAACGUCCGUCGUGAAGAGGGAAACAACCCAGACCGCCAGCUAAGGUCCCAAAGUCAUGGUUAAGUGGGAAACGAUGUGGGAAGGCCCAGACAGCCAGGAUGUUGGCUUAGAAGCAGCCAUCAUUUAAAGAAAGCGUAAUAGCUCACUGGUCGAGUCGGCCUGCGCGGAAGAUGUAACGGGGCUAAACCAUGCACCGAAGCUGCGGCAGCGACGCUUAUGCGUUGUUGGGUAGGGGAGCGUUCUGUAAGCCUGCGAAGGUGUGCUGUGAGGCAUGCUGGAGGUAUCAGAAGUGCGAAUGCUGACAUAAGUAACGAUAAAGCGGGUGAAAAGCCCGCUCGCCGGAAGACCAAGGGUUCCUGUCCAACGUUAAUCGGGGCAGGGUGAGUCGACCCCUAAGGCGAGGCCGAAAGGCGUAGUCGAUGGGAAACAGGUUAAUAUUCCUGUACUUGGUGUUACUGCGAAGGGGGGACGGAGAAGGCUAUGUUGGCCGGGCGACGGUUGUCCCGGUUUAAGCGUGUAGGCUGGUUUUCCAGGCAAAUCCGGAAAAUCAAGGCUGAGGCGUGAUGACGAGGCACUACGGUGCUGAAGCAACAAAUGCCCUGCUUCCAGGAAAAGCCUCUAAGCAUCAGGUAACAUCAAAUCGUACCCCAAACCGACACAGGUGGUCAGGUAGAGAAUACCAAGGCGCUUGAGAGAACUCGGGUGAAGGAACUAGGCAAAAUGGUGCCGUAACUUCGGGAGAAGGCACGCUGAUAUGUAGGUGAGGUCCCUCGCGGAUGGAGCUGAAAUCAGUCGAAGAUACCAGCUGGCUGCAACUGUUUAUUAAAAACACAGCACUGUGCAAACACGAAAGUGGACGUAUACGGUGUGACGCCUGCCCGGUGCCGGAAGGUUAAUUGAUGGGGUUAGCGCAAGCGAAGCUCUUGAUCGAAGCCCCGGUAAACGGCGGCCGUAACUAUAACGGUCCUAAGGUAGCGAAAUUCCUUGUCGGGUAAGUUCCGACCUGCACGAAUGGCGUAAUGAUGGCCAGGCUGUCUCCACCCGAGACUCAGUGAAAUUGAACUCGCUGUGAAGAUGCAGUGUACCCGCGGCAAGACGGAAAGACCCCGUGAACCUUUACUAUAGCUUGACACUGAACAUUGAGCCUUGAUGUGUAGGAUAGGUGGGAGGCUUUGAAGUGUGGACGCCAGUCUGCAUGGAGCCGACCUUGAAAUCCCCCCCUUUAAAAGUUUUUGAUGUUUUUAAACGUUGGCCCCGUAAUUCCCGGGUUGCGGACAGUGUUUGGUGGGGUAGUUUGACUGGGGCCGGUCUCCUCCCUAAAGAGUAACGGAGGAGCACGAAAGGUUGGCUAAUCCUGGUCGGACAUCAGGAGGUUAGUGCAAUGGCAUAAGCCAGCUUGACUGCGAGCGUGACGGCGCGAGCAGGUGCGAAAGCAGGUCAUAGUGAUCCGGUGGUUCUGAAUGGAAGGGCCAUCGCUCAACGGAUAAAAGGUACUCCGGGGAUAACAGGCUGAUACCGCCCAAGAGUUCAUAUCGACGGCGGUGUUUGGCACCUCGAUGUCGGCUCAUCACAUCCUGGGGCUGAAGUAGGUCCCAAGGGUAUGGCUGUUCGCCAUUUAAAGUGGUACGCGAGCUGGGUUUAGAACGUCGUGAGACAGUUCGGUCCCUAUCUGCCGUGGGCGCUGGAGAACUGAGGGGGGCUGCUCCUAGUACGAGAGGACCGGAGUGGACGCAUCACUGGUGUUCGGGUUGUCAUGCCAAUGGCACUGCCCGGUAGCUAAAUGCGGAAGAGAUAAGUGCUGAAAGCAUCUAAGCACGAAACUUGCCCCGAGAUGAGUUCUCCCUGAGACUUAGAGUCUCCUGAAGGAACGUUGAAGACGACGACGUUGAUAGGCCGGGUGUGUAAGCGCAGCGAUGCGUUGAGCUAACCGGUACUAAUGAACCGUGAGGCUUAACCUU
rnacentral:rRNA from 1 species